GUGCCAGCUGGUGGUCAUAUAGUAUAGGCAUAAGAGGCAAUGGGAAAUCAGUUCUUACUUGUGCCAAUAGCAUAUGCACGAAUGUGCCAAUUAUGAGUCUUCUGUGAUGUCCUUUAAGAAAUUGGCAGCUCUUAUCUGAGGUUGUUAUCAUAGCCUUCCUUAUUUGUCGAUUAUUUAGCCAUCAAUUUGCUGGGGGCUUUCCUUGAACCCAACAACUGUAGUCCUGCUCCAAGUUUAUAUAUUGCACUGAGUCCAAGUUUAUUGCAUUGAACGUUGUUCGCUUCCAAAUUAAAGUGCCAUCACGAGUAUCAGCACUGACUCCUUUAAUUAUAUAUGCUAGCUGUCUUUCAGGACAUAAAAGGAACAUGCAAACGCCAACUUGGGCAAGACAUCUAUACCAAGCACUCGCACGCACAUCUGGAGAAGCUUUCUCAUCGCAGCGGCCAUCUAUAUAUCGUAGAGUCCGGAAAGUGUUUUUGCGUCACAUUUAGUUGGAGUCGGCAGCACAGUACGCAGCAGAUCAAGGAAGCUUAUGCGCGCGUAGCCAAAUUGAUUGUUCAGUUUUUUUGUUGAGCUGCUGUCACAGCAUCAAGGAGUAAAGCAAACAUGACAUAGAUAUCAUGCAGAGCUAUUCUUUUGAAUUCAUUUCUCCGAAUAUAAUUUUGAAUAUUUGGGUCUCUAGAUGAACUGGAAAGUUUUGGAUAACAUCAAGUACUACAACUUUGUUGUAUACACCAUAUCCUCAUGGAUCUGAGGUCAUUUAAAGAACUCGAAAUAUUAUAUUUAAAAAUCUGAGAGGUAAAAAUGAAUGAAUAUCGAUCCUGGUCCCUAAACAAUCCCAG
rnacentral:lncRNA from 1 species